rnacentral:rRNA from 1 species
GAAAGCGGCGCUAACACCGCAUAAUACUCUAAAGCACACGCUUCUAGAGUCAAAGCCUUCGGGUGCUUGAGGAUGAGCUUGCGCCAUAUUAGCUUGUUGGUGGGGUAAUGGCCUACCAAGGUUAUGAUGUGUAGCCGGCCUGAGAGGGUGUACGGCCACACUGGAACUGCGACACGGUCCAGACUCCUACGGGAGGCAGCAGUGGGGAAUUUUGCGCAAUGGGCGAAAGCCUGACGCAGNGACGCCGCGUGGAGGAUGACGGCCUUCGGGUUGUAAACUCCUGUCAGAGGUGAAGAAAGCCCUUUCGGGGGCCUGACGGUAACCUCAGAGGAAGCCCCGGCUAACUACGUGCCAGCAGCCGCGGUAAUACGUAGGGGGCAAACGUUGCUCGGAAUUACUGGGCGUAAAGGGUGUGUAGGUGGCUGAGCAAGUCUUAGAUGAAAUCCCGAGGCCUACCCUCGGAACUGUCUUCGAUACUGCUCAGCUUGAGGAUGGUUGAGGAGAACGGAAUUCCCGGUGGAGCGGUGAAAUGCGUA